GACGAACGCUGGCGGCGUGCCUAAUACAUGCAAGUAGAACGCAGUUGCGAACGGGUGAGUAACGCGUAGGUAACUGCCUGGUAGCGGGGGAUAACUAUUGGAAACGAUAGCUAAUACCGCAUACUACCAGAUGGACCUGCGUUGUAUUAGCUAGUUGGUGGGGUAAAGGCCCACCAAGGCAACGAGACAUAACCGACCGUAGAGGGGGAUCGGCCACACUGGGACUGAGACACGGCUCAGAUGCCGUCGGUAGGCAGCCGUAGGGAAUCUGCGGCAAUGGACGGAAGGCUGAUCGAGCAACGCCGCGUGAGUGAAGAAGGUUUUCGGAUCGUAAAGCUCUGUUGUAAGAGAAGCGGUAUCUUACCAGAAAGGGACGGCUAACUACGUGCCAGCAGCCGCGGUAAUUC
rnacentral:rRNA from 1 species